GCUAAACGCGAAGAACCUUACCUGGUCUUGACAUCCACGGAACCUAGCAGAGAUGUUGGGGUGCCUUCGGGAACCGUGAGACAGGUGCUGCAUGGCUGUCGUCAGCUCGUGUCGUGAGAUGUUGGGUUAAGUCCCGUAACGAGCGCAACCCUUGUCCUUAGUUGCCAUCAGGUUAUGCUGGGCACUUUAAGGAGACUGCCGGUGAUAAACCGGAGGAAGGUGGGGAUGACGUCAAGUCCUCAUGGCCCUUACAGGUAGGGCUACACACGUGCUACAAUGGGCAGUACAGAGGGAAGCCAACCCGCGAGGGGGAGCGAAUCUCAUAAAGCUGUUCGUAGUCCGGAUUGGAGUCUGCAACUCGACUCCAUGAAGUUGGAAUCGCUAGUAAUCGCGGAUCAGAAUGCCGCGGUGAAUACGUUCCCGGGUCUUGUACACACCG
rnacentral:rRNA from 1 species